CAACAGGUGUCUCUUGGCCUCCUCCACGCUACAUUAAAUAACACACGUUUCUUCCUCCUGUUCUCUUCAUACUGCUCUCUUCACAUCGCAAAAAUAUGGCCCCGACGCCUUCUCCAUCUCCAUCGUCGAGCAGUGAGUCAGACCCCAGCUGGUAUUGGCGCAACCCUGCCAGGCGAGCGGCGCGUGAGGCGGCAGCUCUCGCAGCGCGUGAGGCGCGUGCAAGACAGGAGGCAAGCGCGGCUAGCGAGGCAGUAGCGUCUGCGGCGCGUGAGGCAACACCGUCUGCGGCUAGCGAGGCAGCAGUGUCUGCUGCGCAUGAGGUCCGUGCGGCGGCAGCAGGUGAGUCUCGUGCGGCAGCAGGUGAGUCCCGUGCGGCGGCAGCGGCGGCUGCUCGCCGUGCACCAGCCCGGCGUUUCCGGCAGUAUCCCUACAGCAGGCCUUCACGGCAGAGACGAGGUGCAAGGCUUCGCACUCCUUCUGAUGAUGAAGAACCGAUCGUCACAGGAGGCAGUGCAAAAGGAGAAGACAAGAUCGAUGCAGCAAAAAUAAACUGAUGGAGAUUACAUUCGGUGAACUAAAUUCUACUAUCACUAUUCCUAAAUGUUCCAUGUAGCAAGCUUUUGCAUGGCUUCGUAUACCAAUGAUCUUUCACAAUGAACUUGUACCGGUAGUGAUCCUUGUCUUUCAAGUGUUCCCUUCUUCAUGUGAGGAAGAUUAUACUUAUUG
rnacentral:misc_RNA from 1 species